AUAUGUACGCGCAGUAACAUAAAGACAUCAUAUUCGGUGCCGAGAUAUACACGUAGAGGGUGGGGUGGGCUGAGCUGCAACCUGGCACCUGUGCAUGCUCUCUGCUUUCCCUUUUCCUCAGAUUUUUUCCUCUUUCGUCUGCAUUGAUUUUCCUCUACUCGUAACCUUAUUUUCUUCGAUAAAUCCAAGAACUUCUAUGUUUUCACUCAGAUCCGUGGUUUUUCUUCUUCGGCAAAUGCUCAAACAACCAUCCAAUGCAAAAGAAACAGGAUUCCAGCUAACCCAUGAGAAAUCUUGGUCGAUUUUUGCACUCUAUAGGGUGUAAAAAUUCAAGUUUUCUUGUUGCGGUGUUGUAAUUUCUUCAUUCUCUUUUGGUUGUUGGACUGCUUGAUUUUUAGUAAAGUAGUGAAGAAUGAUGAAAGUAGCUGAAAGUAAUUCUGAAAAAUUCAUCUGGGAUUCGAUGAGGAGCCCAUCCGGGGCGCCGAUUGCCGUGUCGGCUUCACAGAGCAAACCUUUCCCCAAGCUGAUGCUUUGGCUGAUUCUCUUCGUCUCAGCCACUUAUAUUGUCUACACAAUGAAGCUGCUUUCCUCUUCUCACCACUCUUGCGGCGCUGACAAUUUCCCUUCUCGACAUUUCCCUCUUCAAGAACUUGAAAACGGGGAAGUCCCAUCUCCUCUCAACCCCCAAAAAACACUUCAAUUCGGCAGUCUGAAGCAAGAAUUUCAAGAGGAAAGGAAAACGGGAUUGGAGCAUAUAGUUUUCGGCAUUGCUGCUUCUGCCAAGCUCUGGCAAAAGAGAAAGGAGUACAUAAAGCUAUGGUGGAAGCCCGAAGAGAGAAUAAGAGGGUUUGUUUGGCUCGAUCGCCGUGUGAAGACUUACAAGAACGAAACUGGGAGCCUUCCCGAGCUCAGAAUCUCAGGGGAUACUUCAAAUUUUCGUUAUAAGAACAAACAGGGUCACCGUUCCGCAAUCCGGAUUUCUCGGAUUGUUUCUGAGACUUUGAGGCUAGGAGGGAUGGACAACGUGAGGUGGUUCGUGAUGGGGGACGAUGACACGGUUUUUGUAACGGAUAAUUUGGUGAGGAUUCUGAACAAGUACGAUCAUAAUCAGUAUUAUUACAUUGGGAGCUCGAGUGAGAGCCAUUUACAGAACAUAUAUUUCUCUUAUGGGAUGGCUUAUGGAGGUGGGGGUUUUGCCAUAAGCUAUCCUUUGGCCAAGGCUCUUGAAAAAAUUCAGGAUAGAUGUAUUCAGAGGUAUCCCGGAUUGUAUGGCUCUGAUGACAGAAUUCAGGCUUGUAUGGCUGAACUUGGAGUUCCACUCACUAAAGAACUCGGCUUUCACCAGUAUGAUGUUUACGGGAACUUAUUUGGGCUUUUAGCGGCACAUCCUCUUACCCCAUUGGUGUCUUUGCACCAUCUAGAUGUGGUGGAGCCAAUUUUCCCGAAUGUCACUCAAGUAGAAGCUCUACAACGGCUGAAAAUCCCUAUGAGGCUGGAUUCGGCUGGUCUAAUGCAGCAAUCCAUUUGCUACCACAAAACGAAUGGUUGGACUAUAUCAGUUUCUUGGGGCUUUGCUGUUCAAAUAUUUCGUGGGGUGAUGUCGCCUCGAGAGAUAGAGAUGCCACCGAGAACUUUCUUGAAUUGGUAUAAACGAGGUGACUACAAGGCUUAUGCAUUCAACACGAGGCCGGUUAUGAGGAACCCAUGUCAGAAGCCCUUUAUUUUCUAUUUGUCAACAGCAAGAAUGGAGUCUCACACGAACCAAACAGUGAGUGAGUACACACAACAUCGUGAUCCUCAUCCUGCAUGCAAAUGGAAGAUGGUUGAUCCAGCUGACAUUGAUCGAGUGGAGGUCUACAAGAAACCUGAUCCGCAUCUUUGGGAUAGAGCUCCAAGGAGAAACUGUUGCCGGGUCGUAAGCUCAAAGAAGCAAAGCCUGGUUAUCAAUGUGGGUGUAUGCGAGGAAGGCGAGAAUUUGCAUCCGACAUCAACUUCGACCGCUACGCACGACAAGUAAUGGAACAUCUGAACUGCCAAUAAACAAACUAUCUAUACAAGUAUUGAUGCUACAGUAGAGAAAAACAUCUAUCUACCGAAGAAAAAUGAGAAUAUAAAUCGAACUGCACUAUUUGCGUUGGAAAUGUGCGGAAAAUUCUGGUCAAUCUCUAUCGCAACUUCUUUAAAGUCACGACGUUAAUUCUUCCCGGUGGAGUGAUGAUGGUGAUGGGAAGAAUUAGCUCUUGAAAGCAGGGAAGAAACGGCGUGUACAGCAGCGGAUGCUAUUCUUGAUUUAAUCUGUCCCCUCCUCGGUGAAGGCCUUGAGUUUGCAAAGCCUCUGAUUGCUGCUGCAGACAAAUUACUGAUCCCACGAUCCAUCUUAUGAAGCUUGACCGACUUAUAGUUUAUGUGCGUUUUAGGGGAGUUGAGGAGCAUGCCAGCGGGAGUGCUUGGCUGUACAAAGAUUCUAUUCAACCCAACUUGUGACAAGGUGGUUUCUGAGGAAGAUUUAACAGAUGAAAUGGUUGUAUGGAUGUCUAGGCCUGUCUGGACUGGCCAGUGCCGACGUACGUGCGUGCGUGUGGUUUUGGCUGAGAUGGAUUAUAUAUAUGAUCGUGGUAAGAUUUCGGUCCUCCAAUGAUGUUAUAAAUCCGUACUCGGGAGCUUUUGGUCCCUCGAAUUUUUACCUUAUUUUAUAGACAGAAAUACUGUAAUUUUGUAUCGUGCAUGUGUGUUGCACAUGCUUAUGCUCUGCCCUCAGAAUUUUCUAUAAUUC